ACAGUCCCUAUUCUGCUCUGUGUCAGUGUGUAUCAUGGUCUCUGAGGACAGGUGUCAAUCCAUAUCUGCCAAGUGACCCUAUGUAGGGGGAACAGUCCCUAUUCUGAUCUGUGUCAGUGUGUAUCAGGGGCUCUGAGGACAGGUGUCAAUCCAUAUCUGCCAAGUGACCCUAUGUAGGGGGAACAGUCCCUAUUCUGCUCUGUGUCAGUGUGUAUCAGGG
rnacentral:lncRNA from 1 species